AUUGAACGCUGGCGGCAGGCCUAACACAUGCAAGUCGAACGAGUGGCGGACGGGUGAGUAAUGUCUGGGAAACUGCGUGAUGGAGGGGGAUAAAUACUGGAAACGGUCGCUAAUACCGCAUACCAUCGGAUGUGCCCAGAUGGGAGUAGCUUGUGGGGGGGGGAAAGGCUCACCUAGGCGACGAUCCCUAGCUGGUCGGAGAGGUUGACCAGCCAACCUGGAACUGAGACACGGUCCAGACUCCUACUGGAGGCAGCAGUGGGGAAUCUUGCACAAUGGGCGCAAGCCUGAUGCAGCCAUGCCGCGUGUAUGAAGAAGGCCUUCGGGUUGUAAAGUACUUUCAGCCGGGAGGCGUUACCCGCAGAAGAAGCACCGGCUAACUCCGUGCCAGCAGCCGCGGUAAUAC
rnacentral:rRNA from 1 species